AGUAAGGGAGUACUAUUGCCACCGCUCAAAGACGCUCGGGUCAUAUUGAGGAAAAGCACUUCGAAGAAGUUCGGACGCAAGAGAAUGGAAAUAGUUCAGGCGAUGAGUGGUAUUCGUUGGAUAUGUCCCGUGAUAUAAAUCAAGUCAUCGGUCGAGUCAUUCGACACAACAAUGAUGGUUAACAUCAUUAAGGACUAAAGAUGCAUAUUACCCUUCACUAAGGACAAGUAGUUUAUGCAGUUCCGCCGCAGUUCAUCCCUCCAGUAUUUUGUUGCUCGAACUGAUUUUCUUGAUGUGUCCCAAAAAAAUGAAAGUAACAGUAUUUGACAUAGGCUGGAUCAGCCUCCAGCAGGCGUUAAUGAUAAGUGCAGAUAACAAUCGUAAGGGUACUGUAGUCAGGUAGCAUAAGAAUAUAAUUUGUGAAAUUUUAUGUUUUUAGAUAGAAUUAAGAAUAAAACUCGUG